CCUACGGGAGGCAGCAGUGGGGGAUAUUGGACAAUGGGGGGAACCCUGAUCCAGCGACGCCGCGUGAGUGAAGCAGUAUUUCGGUAUGUAAAGCUCUGUCAGCAGGGAAGAAAGAAAUGACGGUACCUGAGCAAGAAGCCCCGGCUAAUUACGUGCCAGCAGCCGCGGUAAUACGUAGGGGGCAAGCGUUAUCCGGAAUUACUGGGUGUAAAGGGGGCGUAGACGGUUAAGUAAGUCUGGAGUGAAAGGCCGGGGCCCAACCCCGGGACUGCUCUGGAAACUAUUGAACUUGAGUGCAGGAGAGGUAAGCGGAAGUCCUAGUGUAGCGGUGAAAUGCGUAGAUAUUAGGAGGAACACCAGUGGCGAAGGCGGCUUACUGGACUGUAACUGACGUUGAGGCUCGAAAGCGUGGGGAGCAAACAGGAUUAGAUACCCCUGUAGUC
rnacentral:rRNA from 1 species